CUGCUCUUUCAGGUUUGAGACACUGCUGGACAGUGCUCUGUGUCGCCGGCUCGCAACAGAUCUUAAUGGUGUUUAGGAAAAAAAACUGGUCCCACUCGGUCACCUUCCAUGAAAGUCUUUGCUGAUAUAAGUAGACAAACAGACUUAGCAGUAUUUAAUCUCUCACACAAACAGGUAAGCGGUUAUGAAAGAACGGCCUGGCCCCUAACUCCCUCCGGACUUCCUGCCUCUCUGUGACCUCUUCUGCUCCAGCUGUUUGUACCAUGAGUCUCACCAGAGCGAAACAAACACUGAUUCAUGCUCAAGAAAUUUCGGACUUGCCAGCUAAAUAAAUCUCUUUUCUUUCUGCAUCACCCAGCCUUUGACAGUUUGCUCUAGCGACAGGAAAUAGACUAAUACAGAAAACUGGUGCGAGAGAGUGAAGUCCUUCUUUUAACGGUCCAUAAAAUUGUGGGAUCAGCUUUGGAACUGGGUAACCGGAUCCUACAACCACUCCUCCAUCCCAGUGGCUGCACAGCCAAGAUUUAUUC
rnacentral:lncRNA from 1 species